rnacentral:rRNA from 1 species
UGAGGAACAUGACCUUCGGCGGGGGAUAGCCGGCCCAACGGCCGGGUAAUACCGCGUACGACCACAUGGGGACAUCCCUGAGUGGUGAAAGCAGCAAUGCGCCGAUGGAGUGCCUCGCGGCCUAUCAGCUAGUUGGUGAGGUAACGGCUCACCAAGGCGACGACGGGUAGCUGGUCUGAGAGGAUGGCCAGCCUCAUUGGGACUGAGACACCGGCCCAAACUCCCGUAGGGACGG